rnacentral:rRNA from 1 species
GAACACGGAGCUUGCUCUGUGGGAUCAGUGGCGAACGGGUGAGUAACACGUGAGCAACCUGCCCCUGACUCUGGGAUAAGCGCUGGAAACGGCGUCUAAUACUGGAUAUGUGACGUGACCGCAUGGUCUGCGUUUGGAAAGAUUUUUCGGUUGGGGAUGGGCUCGCGGCCUAUCAGCUUGUUGGUGAGGUAAUGGCUCACCAAGGCGUCGACGGGUAGCCGGCCUGAGAGGGUGACCGGCCACACUGGGACUGAGACACGGCCCAGACUCCUACGGGAGGCAGCAGUGGGGAAUAUUGCACAAUGGGCGGAAGCCUGAUGCAGCAACGCCGCGUGAGGGAUGACGGCCUUCGGGUUGUAAACCUCUUUUAGCAGGGAAGAAGCGAAAGUGACGGUACCUGCAGAAAAAGCGCCGGCUAACUACGUGCCAGCAGCCGCGGUAAUACGUAGGGCGCAAGCGUUAUCCGGAAUUAUUGGGCGUAAAGAGCUCGUAGGCGGUUUGUCGCGUCUGCUGUGAAAUCCCGAGGCUCAACCUCGGGCCUGCAGUGGGUACGGGCAGACUAGAGUGCGGUAGGGGAGAUUGGAAUUCCUGGUGUAGCGGUGGAAUGCGCAGAUAUCAGGAGGAACACCGAUGGCGAAGGCAGAUCUCUGGGCCGUAACUGACGCUGAGGAGCGAAAGGGUGGGGAGCAAACAGGCUUAGAUACCCUGGUAGUCCACCCCGUAAACGUUGGGAACUAGUUGUGGGGUCCAUUCCACGGAUUCCGUGACGCAGCUAACGCAUUAAG